rnacentral:rRNA from 1 species
CAUAGGUUAAUGAGGCGAACCGGGGGAACUGAAACAUCUAAGUACCCCGAGGAAAAGAAAUCAACCGAGAUUCCCCCAGUAGCGGCGAGCGAACGGGGAGGAGCCCAGAGCCUGAAUCAGCAUGUGUGUUAGUGGAAGCGUCUGGAAAGGCGCGCGAUACAGGGUGACAGCCCCGUACACAAAAGCGCAUGUGCUGUGAGCUCGAUGAGUAGGGCGGGACACGUGGUAUCCUGUCUGAAUAUGGGGGGACCAUCCUCCAAGGCUAAAUACU